GAUGAACGCUGGCGGCGUGCCUAAUACAUGCAAGUCGAGCGAACGGACGAGAAGCUUGCUUCUCUGAUUUUAGCGGCGGACGGGUGAGUAACACGUGGAUAACCUACCUAUAAGACUGGGAUAACUCCGGGAAACCGGAGCUAAUACCGGAUAAUAUUUUGAACCGCAUGGUUCAAAAGUGAAAGACGGUCUUGCUGUCACUUAUAGAUGGAUCCGCGCUGCAUUAGCUAGUUGGUAAGGUAACGGCUUACCAAGGCAACGAUGCAUAGCCGACCUGAGAGGGUGAUCGGCCACACUGGAACUGAGACACGGUCCAGACUCCUACGGGAGGCAGCAGUAGGGAAUCUUCCGCAAUGGGCGAAAGCCUGACGGAGCAACGCCGCGUGAGUGAUGAAGGUCUUCGGAUCGUAAAACUCUGUUAUGAGGGAAGAACAUAUGUGUAAGUAACUGUGCACAUCUUGACGGUACCCAAUCAGAAAGCCACGGCUAACUACGUG
rnacentral:rRNA from 1 species